rnacentral:misc_RNA from 1 species
GGGGCAUCCAAAUUAAACAAAUUGCCUGUGGUGAUAGCCACUGUUUGGCAAUUACAUCGAAUGGAGAGGUGCAAAGUUGGGGGCGGAAUCAAAAUGGGCAGCUUGGUCUUGGCACCGCCGAAGAUUCUCUUUUACCACAAAAAGUUCAAGCCUUUCAGGGUAUCUCUGUCAAAAUGGUUGCUGCUGGAGCAGAACACAGUGCUGCAGUUACAGAAGAUGGUGAUCUUUAUGGCUGGGGUUGGGGUCGGUAUGGUAAUUUGGGCUUGGGUGAUCGGAAUGACCGUCUUAUCCCAGUAAAGGUUUCCGCAAAUGAUGGAAAGAAGAUGGUAUCUGUUGC